rnacentral:rRNA from 1 species
AAGCCCUUCGGGGUGGAUUAGUGGCGAACGGGUGAGUAACACGUGGGCAAUCUGCCCUUCACUCUGGGACAAGCCCUGGAAACGGGGUCUAAUACCGGAUAACACUCUGUCCCGCAUGGGACGGGGUUAAAAGCUCCGGCGGUGAAGGAUGAGCCCGCGGCCUAUCAGCUUGUUGGUGGGGUAAUGGCCUACCAAGGCGACGACGGGUAGCCGGCCUGAGAGGGCGACCGGCCACACUGGGACUGAGACACGGCCCAGACUCCUACGGGAGGCAGCAGUGGGGAAUAUUGCACAAUGGGCGAAAGCCUGAUGCAGCGACGCCGCGUGAGGGAUGACGGCCUUCGGG